UCGGGGAUACACAACUCUGAUAGCACCAUUGUGUGUGUAUUGGUGAGUUAUGAGAGAGAUGGAUCUAUAAUGAUGAUGGGGAUGAGGAAGAGAGAUGUGUUUGUAUGCUCGGGCCAAUGGCGAUGGUAAACUAUUAAGGGGUUAGAGGAGGAAUCGCCGUGGAUGGUGCGGAGGGGAGGCAGCUCGAGGGGCGCGUCGCGCACUUCCUCCGCGACGCUAAGCUAGCGCUUUUUUCCCACCUCUAAUCUUUAAAAUUUAGGGAAUUUCUCUUUAUAACAUUGCAUAUCAGCUCUUCAAAAUAAUAACAAUCUAAUUAUUUUAUUUUUCAUCUCAUUUCCUGUCAUCUCAUCUGUCUAUUAUGAUAAUGAUUCCGAUGAAUUUGGAUUUUGAAAAUUUGUCAAUUUGGAAAUUCGGGGAAGUUUUUUGUGGGGUGAGUUUUGGGCGGGGAUUUUCAAAUUUUUGAAAAUAUCGAUUUAGGUUAUUGGGGUAUUGAAUUUUGGGGGUGAAUUUUGUCUGGGUUUUCUUUUUUUUUUCGUGGAAUUUUCAAAUGAAAAUGUGUGGCUUGACUCGGGGUGCGGUUCUUGUUUACUAGACGGGUCCGGGCGAACUAAGCAAGACUCGUGAUUGGCCGUCGCGCACCUGCAAUGCGUCAGACGCGCGGCCACCGCCGCCGUUGACGCUGUAACGCGUUAUACACCAGGGGGUCCUCGAUUCUCUGCACAACGCGCUAAAACGACGCGACUUGCGCCAGCGCUGUUAAAGGCUAAACCCGCCUUUUUACCUAUGUAGCCAGAGAGACUCCGAUCGCAUCUGCCGCCGGCUAAACUCCACGGAUCAAAGACAACCUGAAGAAGCCCUUCCUCCCUCAUCCAAACAAUAUCCCCAAGUCGGAAAUAUAUCGCGGUUAUAUUCCCGGGUGAAGAUGCGGUUGGCGAGAUAUAUUUUAGGUACAAGUUGGCUCUAAAAAUACCAGAUUUGAGAGAGAAAUUUCGAAAGAUUUUCCCGCAAAAUGCAAAAUGCGAAGUAAUCUUUUUCCAGAUCCAAAUAAAAUAUUCGAGCAAGUGUUUUAAUUUCCCUGGUGUACGUGGCCUCAGCUUCCCUCAAGUAAAUCGUCUACAAUUUUCCCCCAAACGAGUAAUUAUGCCCGUAAUAUUUUCAACAAAGUCGAUACAAAUAAUUUUAAAGAAAUUUCAUCAUCUCUUGGAGAUUAUGAUGUAAAGAUCAGUUCAUAUUUCUUUGGGGCAUUUGCAGUAACAAGUUAUUGUAAACAAAAUAAAAGUGUAACUCACAUCAAUCGAAAUUUUAUUGCGUGUUAUUUUUUCUGUUUUAUUAUCCAGUCUCAUUGCGGUUGAAGUACACGAGAAAGAAGAAAACCUUAAAGUAUGAAAAUGGGGAGAAAAUAUCGUGCAAGCUAUAUUGCGUGACUUUUGAUUGAGAAUGGACUAAAAGUAUUUCAUACAUAAAAUGAAUGACAGACAACAAUCUAUAAAAUGUAGGUCAACGAUAAUAUAUAUUUAUUUUCUCCACCCCCUCGAGAACUAGAACUUGAAAUCCGUCUCUCAAGAUGUUAUGUAGUGAAAUCUCGUUAUAGUCUUUGACUGAAUUACGUUAAUACAAGGGUGGAAUUGAGAUACAAUUAUAAAAUGUCAAUUUUUAUUAGUGAAGGUUGGUAAUAUUUAUGAGCACAAUACUGAUCAGAUGAGUGGAAUUUAUUGAUUAUGAGGUGGAUUAUUUACUUCUAAUCUGGUUCGCAACUCAUUGGGUGUGAACUUAUGCAUGAGGACUUAUGCUUGAGAAGAAAUGUAAAGACAGUACCCACAGUAUAUCAAUUUUACACUCGUUGAUAUUUAAAUAGGGAAUAGAAGUAGAAAAUUAUUAUAAAAUCAUUCGUCACUUUGGGAUAUUUUGUGGAUCCACUUGUUCCCUCAGACGAACUAUAUAUUAAUUAUACCGAGAAUAUAUUCCUGAAAAAAUGUGGGCGCGUAUAAAAAUGUAUUUAACAGAU